rnacentral:rRNA from 1 species
AGUGAACGCUGGCGGCAGGCCUAAUACAUGCAAGUCGAACGGCAGCACAGUGGAGCUUGCUCCAUGGGUGGCGAGUGGCGGACGGGUGAGGAAUACAUGGGAAUCUGCCCAGUCGUGGGGGAUAACGUAGGGAAACUUACGCUAAUACCGCAUGCGCCCUUCGGGGAAAGCCGGGGACCGUAAGGCCUGGCGCGAUUGGAUGAGCCCAUGUCGGAUUAGCUAGUUGGCGGGGUAACGGCCCACCAAGGCGACGAUCGAUAGCUGGUCUGAGAGGAUGAUCAGCCACACUGGAACUGAGACACGGUCCAGACUCCUACGGGAGGCAGCAGUAGGGAAUAUUGGACAAUGGGGGCAACCCUGAUCCAGCCAUGCCGCGUGAGUGAAGAAGGCCCUCGGGUUGUAAAGCUCUUUUGUCCGGAAAGAAAAGCAAUCGGUUAAUACCCGGUUGUUCUGACGGUACCGGAAGAAUAAGCACCGGCUAACUUCGUGCCAGCAGCCGA